GGGUGCGUAGUAUAAUGGAUAGUACGAAACCUUGCGGAGGUUUUAAUCCAGGUUCGAAUCCUGGCGUGCCCA
rnacentral:tRNA from 1 species